rnacentral:rRNA from 1 species
UACGAAGGGGGCUAGCGUUGUUCGGAAUCACUGGGCGUAAAGCGCACGUAGGCGGAUCUUUAAGUCAGGGGUGAAAUCCCGAGGCUCAACCUCGGAACUGCCUUUGAUACUGGGGAUCUCGAGUCCGGGAGAGGUGAGUGGAACUGCGAGUGUAGAGGUGAAAUUCGUAGAUAUUCGCAAGAACACCAGUGGCGAAGGCGGCUCACUGGCCCGGAACUGACGCUGAGGUGCGAAAGCUAGGGGAGCAAACAGG